rnacentral:rRNA from 1 species
GAUGAACGCUAGCUACAGGCUUAACACAUGCAAGUCGAGGGGAAACGAUAGAGAAAGCUUGCUUUUUCUAGGCGUCGACCGGCGCACGGGUGAGUAACGCGUAUCCAACCUGCCCAUCACUUGGGGAUAACCUUGCGAAAGUAAGACUAAUACCCAAUGACGUCCAUAGAAGACAUCUGAAAGGGAUUAAAGAUUUAUCGGUGAUGGAUGGGGAUGCGUCUGAUUAGCUUGUUGGCGGGGUAACGGCCCACCAAGGCGACGAUCAGUAGGGGUUCUGAGAGGAAGGUCCCCCACAUUGGAACUGAGACACGGUCCAAACUCCUACGGGAGGCAGCAGUGAGGAAUAUUGGUCAAUGGGCGAGAGCCUGAACCAGCCAAGUAGCGUGCAGGAUGACGGCCCUAUGGGUUGUAAACUGCUUUUAUAAGGGAAUAAAGUGAGCCUCGUGAGGCUUUUUGCAUGUACCUUAUGAAUAAGGACCGGCUAAUUCCGUGCCAGCCGCCGCCGUAA